UACGUAGGCAGCAAGCGUUGUUCGGAAUUACUGGGCGUAAAGAGUGUGUAGGCGGUGCUCCAAGUCUGGUGUGAAAUCUCCCGGCUUAACUGGGAGGGUGCAUUAGAAACUGGAAUGCUAGAGGAUGGGAGAGGUAAGCGGAAUUCCUGGUGUAGCGGUGAAAUGCGCAGAUAUCAGGAGGAACACCAAUGGCGAAGGCAGCUCGCUGGGACGUGACUGACGCUGAGACGCGAAAGCGUGGGGAGCAAACAGG
rnacentral:rRNA from 1 species